rnacentral:rRNA from 1 species
UACGUAGGGUGCGAGCGUUGUCCGGAAUUAUUGGGCGUAAAGGGCUCGUAGGCGGUUUGUCGCGUCGGGAGUGAAAUCCACUGGCUUAACUGGUGGCUUGCUUUCGAUACGGGCAGACUGGAGGUAUGCAGGGGAGAACGGAAUUCCUGGUGUAGCGGUGAAAUGCGCAGAUAUCAGGAGGAACACCGGUGGCUAAGGCGGCUCUCUAGUACGGUACUGACGCUGAGACGCGAAAGCGUGGGGAGCGAACAGG